rnacentral:rRNA from 1 species
UAUGGUAAUUGUGUGCAGCCGCGGUAAUACGUAGGGGGCAAGCGUUAUCCGGAUUUACUGGGUGUAAAGGGAGCGUAGACGGAGCAGCAAGUCUGAUGUGAAAACCCGGGGCUCAACCCCGGGACUGCAUUGGAAACUGUUGAUCUGGAGUGCCGGAGAGGUAAGCGGAAUUCCUAGUGUAGCGGUGAAAUGCGUAGAUAUUAGGAGGAACACCAGUGGCGAAGGCGGCUUACUGGACGGUAACUGACGUUGAGGCUCGAAAGCGUGGGGAGCAAACAGG